rnacentral:tRNA from 1 species
GUUUUUAUAGUUUAAAUUAAAACAUUGGUCUUGUAAACCUAAAUUAAGUUAAAAACUUUAAAAACU